UACGUAGGGGGCGAGCGUUGUCCGGAUUUAUUGGGCGUAAAGAGCGUGUAGGCGGUCCGGUAAGUCAGCUGUGAAAGUCAAGGGCUCAACCCUUGAAAGCCGGUUGAUACUGUCGGGCUAGAGUCCGGAAGAGGCGAGUGGAAUUCCCGGUGUAGCGGUGAAAUGCGCAGAUAUCGGGAGGAACACCAAUGGCGAAGGCAGCUCGCUGGGACGGUACUGACGCUGAGACGCGAAAGCGUGGGGAGCAAACAGG
rnacentral:rRNA from 1 species